rnacentral:lncRNA from 1 species
AGGCCGUCCACCCUCUUUUAAAGGACCCAUAAUGAGUUCAAAUCGAAUCCAGACUCCUGUUAGAUCUCAAAAAUUCAUUUCAGCUGUCAGAUCAUGCCUGCAUGCAUCCGAAGUUGUCUGAUCAUGCAAAACAGCCCACGAUUAUGUGCUUGUAUGAUGGAUCGUAACAAAUACUGCAGUCCAACAAUCUCCUGGACCAUGUGGUGGAUCACGACUCCACCCUAGGCCAUGCGCAUUGGGCCAUGCUCUGGGUCGCACACACUACAGGCCCCGUGCGCUUGUGUGCGGACCG